CAAGACCUCCUGAGCAGGACAUGUAUAGCCAGUAUCCCAGGCUGCUCACAACUUUGCUUCUUGUGAGAAAUAAAGAAGACGAUGGUCUUAAAUGGGUAUUACUACAAGAAACUCCCCCCGUUCAUGGAAUAUACCUGUUGUGUUUCUCUGAGGCCUAACUCUGCUCUUCUGAGGAGUAAAAUGAUAAAUUCAGAGAGUUUACCACUGAUCAUGGGGAGACAAAGCAGGUGAAACAACUAAAGGAGCUACAUCCAUUAACAUUUACUUUUCCUUUCCAUAAAAAG